UAAAAUAUGCAAAACAAAACUUGCCAGCAUUGAAGAUAGCGUCUAUACCACAUUAAUAAAGAAUCCGCAUACUCUGUUGCUUCAAUUCAACUCAAUAACUUUGUUGAUGCUUUCACAUCGCAUUAGGAAGUUUUGCAGCAAGUUGACCAUUUAUAGUAUGGACAACAUAACCCAUUUCUUACCUUUUACUUAUUGCUUGAUCUCCUGUGGCACUCCACAGAAUGCAUAAGAGUGUGGUCUAUUGUGCCUUCCCCUUUUUACGGUACACAUUUAGAAAUUUAUCAGUUAAUAUCUCGUAGGAUAUUAUCAUAGUAUACAUGACCCUUGCGUAAGAAUACGAUGACUGACUAGUCGGAGGUACGUUUCAUAUUCCCUGGGUGUAAAAUACUUUACAACGGGCCUUUGGCUGCAGGGAACAAUUGAGUUUUUAUUUGUAUUUGUUUCACUUGUAUAAUAAUAAAACAGUCAACCACAGUUGAGUGAACCGUGAUAUACGAUUUAGUACAGUCACAAUUGACAACUGACAACCGGUAGCCAUGGAAAUGAAGAAUUAAUAUGAAAAUAUAAAAAGUUCUCUGUUGCGGUUUAAUAAAACUCUACGCUCAGAGUAUUAAACAUACUUGUAUAUGUAUGGCCAUAUAAACAGUGAGGCCAACAAAAGUUAUUGCACAUACACAUAUUUGUAUAUUA